rnacentral:misc_RNA from 1 species
GAUGAAGAACGCAGCGAAAUGCGAUAAGUAGUGUGAAUUGCAGAAUUCAGUGAAUCAUCGAAUCUUUGAACGCACAUUGCGCCCUUUGGUAUUCCUUAGGGCAUGCCUGUUCGAGCGUCAUUUCAACCCUCAAGCCCUGCUUGGUGUUGGGCGUUUGUCCUGCCUCCGCGCUGGACUCGCCUCAAAGACAUUGGCGGCCGGUUUCCCUUUGCAGGCCACGAGCGCAGCACAGCGAGCGCUCUACGUGGACGCGGGGUCGGCGCACCAGAAGCCCUCUUUCUCGAAUUUUGACCUCGGAUCAGGUAGGGAUACCCGCUGAACUUAAGCAUAUCAAUAAGCGGAGGA